rnacentral:rRNA from 1 species
UACAGAGGGGCAGCGUUAUUCGGAAUUAUUGGGCGUUAAAGGGCGCGUAGGCGGCUUGGGCUAAGUGGAUGGUGAAAUCCCUCGGCUUAAACCGGAGGAACCUGCCAUCCAAACGUGCGUUCGCUUGAGACCGGGAGAGGUGAGGUGGAAUUCCCAGUGUAGCGGUGAAAUGCGUAGAUAUUGGGAGGAACACCAGCGGCGAAGGCGGCUCACUGGACCGGUACGUGACGCUGAUGCGCGAAAGCGUGGGGAGCAAACGGGG